CCCAAAAGUUGUUGACUUGUUGGAUGUUGUUUAUUUUGUGAUGUAGCUGUCACUUGCCUCAUUGUUGGUCUCCAUGGAAACUCUCCAUAACUCAGUGGAGAGAAAUUCCAUGGGAAAGCAAUGGGUGCGUUCCGGAAGAGAUCUGGGUUUGGUGUAUUGUCGUUUAAGUUGGUUGAAUUGUUAAGUUGCAUGUGAAGGAAACUUUGUUUUAUGUCCGUGUUUAGUUUUCAGUACUGACGGUUAAUGCAUGUCAUUGCAGUGGUUAGGUGGUUCGUAUUUAUACGUUUUGUGGUUACGUUGUUAUUAUGUGUAUGGAUUUUUUUUUUAAAUGUUCUGGUUUCAUGUGGUUCUGUGUUACAGGUCUCUCCGAUUUCGACCGUGGAACACACCCUUAGUUCUUGGGACACUGAUACCCCUAUUCUGUUGGAAGUGUUCUAAUACCUAAGUGGUUUCCCACUAUUUGAGUGUGAUGAUGUUGGUUGAGGUUAUAUGUAUGGAUAGGUGGAUCGGAUGAUGUGUUCCUGUUAGAGAUAGAAUACAUCAUCCGAAUAUUUUUUUUUGCCGGUGUUUGUGGGAUGAUAAUUUCAGCCCUCCCUCAUUUGGCCAUCUACCACACAGUGGAUUAAAAAGUGAGUGAUAGUGGUAGAAUUAAAUUCAAAUAUUAAAAAAGAAACAGUUGGACCACCAGAUUCUAAAAUAGAAAGAAAAGAUAUUUAAGAAAGUGAAAUAAGUGGAAUGUUAAUUGGUGCCAACAAUUUUGGAUAAAGAAACCCAGCAAACAACAAGAAAAGUUUGAUUCCCGGCGGCCCGAAUUAAAUUAUGGAGAGCGGGGCCGCCGCCCAAAAAAAAAAAACAAAGAUUUUGAAAUUUAAAUAAAAUUCGAACAAAUUUUGAAAUUGAAUAAAAUUCAAAAAAUUUUUGAAAUUGAACAAAAUCAAAAAUUAAAUACAAAUUUGAAAAACUGAAACCCAAAGAAGAAAAAUCUGAAAUUGAAGGAAAUAAAAAAAGGAAACUUGAAAGAAAAGGAGGUUUGGACGUGAACCAAAUUGAAGGAGAAAAAAACAAUCAAUUUUUAAAUUAUAUAUACAUAUGCGUACAUCUCCAUAUCAUACAUAUAUUUCUUCGUACCUAACCAGUGGAUCUUUUUGUGUUUGUGAUUGUCCUAUAUUUAAGUUUUUUUUUCGAAAUUUAACAAAUUAAUUCUUUAAGUAAUUCAUCGGCGUGGAAGUUAAUUUUUUUUUGUUUAAUUCCAUAAUCUUUUUUGUAUCUUUUUUUUUAUUGAGGUGCGAAAAGAAACGGUUGGUGUUAAUUUCGUGUUUGGUCCCGUAAAUUUGUUGUUGUAUAGGGUCCUAAAAGAUACCUCCUGAGAGCUCUUUAGGGGUAGGGAAUUAGGGCUCCGAUAAACGUUUUCGCUUAAUAAAAAUAGAAUAUACCCCAAAAGGGUACUUCUACGCAAAGGUAGAAGCAAAUAAAGUCGUGGAACUACCAACCUGGCUUUUUUUUUGUUACCAGAUUCUUUUUCUUGUUUUUUUGAUGUUAAUUUUUUUUUGUUAAUUUAUUUUGUGAAUUUAUUUUGUUUAAAUUAAACUUCCGACAGAAACGCCGGAAAUAGAAAAGAAAAGUUUUUUUAUGUUUCGCCCAAGCGAAACGAUGAGUGUUUGAGUCUUUUUUUUUCAGGGGUGUCGAGGGUAGCGGAGUGGACAUGGACCUAGGAUGACCUGAACCCGAUCGUCGACCACAAUUUUGGGGGUAUCCAAAACUGGCCACGGAUACCUAAAGGUAGGGUGGGUAAUGGCCUCACUGCACAUCAUCCGCAGUGCCCUGAUGUGCCAAUAGUCCGUCCGUUUAUGUUUCCUUCCUUUUCCUCAUUCCUUGGCCUGAUUUAUGUUUUUGUCUGCAGGCGAGGUUGAGUUUCGGGGGCAAGAUCCCCCCCCGUCCGACGAGCUGACGCCGUGCACCGCAAGCAGGCCGCGUCCCCCGGAUCUCAACAAUCCCACCUAACCUAUUCCAACUCUUCCUAUCUCUUUUUCCUACCUCAUCCUUAUCCUACCCUUCCACUUCACCCACCUCCACACCUCCUCUUGCCUCGCA